GACGAACGCUGGCGGCGUGCCUAAUACAUGCAAGUGGGACGCAAGGACACACACUGUGCUUGCACACCGUGUUUUCUUGAGUCGCGAACGGGUGAGUAACGCGUAGGUAACCUGCCUAUUAGCGGGGGAUAACUAUUGGAAACGAUAGCUAAUACCGCAUAAUAUUAAUUAUUGCAUGAUAAUUGAUUGAAAGAUGCAAGCGCAUCACUAGUAGAUGGACCUGCGUUGUAUUAGCUAGUUGGUAAGGUAAGAGCUUACCAAGGCGACGAUACAUAGCCGACCUGAGAGGGUGAUCGGCCACACUGGGACUGAGACACGGCCCAGACUCCUACGGGAGGCAGCAGUAGGGAAUCUUCGGCAAUGGACGAAAGUCUGACCGAGCAACGCCGCGUGAGGGAAGAAGGUUUUCGGAUCGUAAAGCUCUGUUGUAAGUCAAGAACGUGUGUGAGAGUGGAAAGUUCACACAGUGACGGUAGCUUACCAGAAAGGGACGGCUAACUACGUG
rnacentral:rRNA from 1 species